rnacentral:rRNA from 1 species
GUGGGGAAUAUUGGACAAUGGGCGAAAGCCUGAUCCAGCAAUGCCGCGUGAGUGAUGAAGGCCUUAGGGUUGUAAAGCUCUUUUACCAGGGAUGAUAAUGACAGUACCUGGAGAAUAAGCUCCGGCUAACUCCGUGCCAGCAGCCGCGGUAAUACGGAGGGAGCUAGCGUUGUUCGGAAUUACUGGGCGUAAAGCGCGCGUAGGCGGUUUAUCAAGUCAGGGGUGAAAUCCCGGGGCUCAACCCCGGAACUGCCCUUGAAACUGGUUCACUAGAAUCCUGGAGAGGCGAGUGGAAUUCCGAGUGUAGAGGUGAAAUUCGUAGAUAUUCGGAAGAACACCAGUGGCGAAGGCGACUGACUGGACAAGUAUUGACGCUGAGGUGCGAAAGCGUGGGGAGCAAACAGGAUUAGAAACCCGGGUAGUCC